rnacentral:rRNA from 1 species
UACAGAGGGUGCGAGCGUUUGUCCGGAAUCACUGGGCGUAAAGGGCGCGUAGGCGGUCUGGUAAGCGUGUGGUGGAAAGCUCGGGGGCUCAACCCCCGAGUCGGCCGUGCGAACUGCGAGACGUGGAGCAGAUCAGAGGCAGGCGGGAAUUCCGGGAUGUAGCGGUGGAAUGCGUAGAGAUCCGGAAGAACGACCGGUGGCGAAGGGCGGCCUGCUGGGAUCUUGCUGACGCUGAGGCGCGACAGCGGUGGGGAGCAACAGG